rfam:Coxiellaceae bacterium HT99 HT99x_contig000016, whole genome shotgun sequence.
GGGCCCAUAGCUCAGUUGGUUAGAGCAGGGGACUCAUAAUCCCUUGGUCCUAGGUUCAAGUCCUAGUGGGCCCA